rnacentral:rRNA from 1 species
UACGUAGGGGGGCAAGCGUUGUCCGGAUUUAUUGGGCGUAAAGAGCGUGUAGGCGGCCGUACAGGUCAGCUGUGAAAACUCGAGGCUCAACCUCGAGACGUCGGUUGAAACCGUACGGCUAGAGUCCGGAAGAGGAGAGUGGAAUUCCCGGUGUAGCGGUGAAAUGCGCAGAUAUCGGGGAAGAACACCCGUGGCGAAGGCGGCUCUCUGGGACGGUACUGACGCUGAGGAGCGAAAGCCAGGGGAGCAAACGGG